rnacentral:rRNA from 1 species
GAUGAACGCUGGCGGCGUGCCUAAUACAUGCAAGUCGAGCGAACGGACGAGAAGCUUGCUUCUCUGAUGUUAGCGGCGGACGGGUGAGUAAAACGUGGAUAACCUACCUAUAAGACUGGGAUAACUUCGGGAAACCGUAGCUAAUACCGGAUAAUAUUUUGAACCGCAUGGUUCAAAAGUGAAAGACGGUCUUGCUGUCACUUAUAGAUGGAUCCGCGCUGCAUUAGCUAGUUGGUAAGGUAACGGCUUACCAAGGCAACGAUGCAUAGCCGACCUGAGAGGGUGAUCGGCCACACUGGAACUGAGACACGGUCCAGACUCCUACGGGAGGCAGCAGUAGGGAAUCUUCCGCAAUGGGCGAAAGCCUGACGGAGCAACGCCGCGGGAGUGAUGAAGGUCUUCGGAUCGUAAAACUCUGUUAUUAGGGAAGAACAUAUGUGUAAGUAACUGUGCACAUCUUGACGGUACCUAAUCAGAAAGCCACGGCUAACUACGUGC